CACGUAGGGCGCAAGCGUUGUCCGGAUUUAUUGGGCGUAAAGCGCGUGUAGGCGGCCACACAGGUCCGCUGUGAAAACUCGAGGCUCAACCUCGAGCUGUCGGUGGAAACCGUGUGGCUAGAGUCCGGAAGAGGAGACUGGAAUUCCCGGUGUAGCGGUGGAAUGCGCAGAUAUCGGGAGGAACACCCGUGGCGAAGGCGGGUCGCUGGGACGGUACUGACGCUGAGACGCGAAAGCGUGGGGAGCGAACAGG
rnacentral:rRNA from 1 species